UAGGGAAUCUUCGGCAAUGGGGGCAACCCUGACCGAGCAACGCCGCGUGAGUGAAGAAGGUUUUCGGAUCGUAAAGCUCUGUUGUAAGAGAAGAACGUUUGUGAGAGUGGAAAGUUCACACAGUGACGGUAACUUACCAGAAAGGGACGGCUAACUACGUGCCAGCAGCCGCGGUAAUACGUAGGUCCCGAGCGUUUUCCGGAUUUAUUGGGCGUAAAGCGAGCGCCGGCGGUUUAAUAAGUCUGAAGUUAAAGGCAGUGGCUUAACCAUUGUUCGCUGUGGAAACUGUAAAGCUUGAGUGCAGAAGGGGAGAGUGGAAUUCCAUGUGUAGCGGUGAAAUGCGUAGAUAUAGGGAGGAACACCGGUGGCGAAAGCGGCUCUCUGGUCUGUAACUGACGCUGAGGCUCGAAAGCGUGGGGAGCAAACAGG
rnacentral:rRNA from 1 species